rnacentral:misc_RNA from 1 species
CUACUCCCCAAACCACAGAACCACUCUGUUACUCCCAUAGCCACAUCCCCCCCUCUCCCUUUGCUUAUCCCGGCUAACACUGUGCCCGUUGGCAUCAUGGCCUCCUCUCGCCCGCCAUCGGCGAAGCUUCUCGAUCUCGAUCUAACCAUAGUUUCCGCCAAGCACCUCAAGAACGUCAACUGGAAAAACGGCGACCUCAAGGCCUACGCCGUCUUCUGGGUGGAUCCCGAUCGGAGGCUCUCCACCAAGUCCGAUGACUCCGGUUCUACCAAACCCGUUUGGAACGAGCGCUUCACG